CUUAAAUAAAGCAUAACACUGAAGAUGUUAAGAUGAACCCUAGAAAAUUCCAUAGGCA
rnacentral:tRNA from 1 species